CCAAGUGUCACCAGUGACCCCUCGUCUCCACAUCCCGGAGCGCUCUGUCUCCGGCUUUGUUCGUGCUGGCCUGGACAUAGCACUGCGCCUUUCCAUCUGUGACUGCUCCCGCUCACUCCUGCAGCCCUGCUGAGCACUUCCGCUUCUCUUGUGCAUCCUCUUGACAGAAAGGGCUUUCCCUGGGUGUGUUUUGCUACGUUUUGACAAAGGACAGAUAAAAUAUAAUACCACAAACAGGAAAUACUGGGCAUGUAAAAGUAAUGCAUCUUGGUAAUACCACCAUUAGCGUUUUCACUUGCAGCAUUGCAGAAGCAGAGGCUGAAAUACCUCAGCUGGCAUUGGCACUUCUGCCCUGGCUUUGCUGCAGCUUUACCAGACAGGUUCCCAUGGAUGAUGCUGAAUGUAAAAAGACGGAUGAAGAGCUGUCUCAUGAACCCAGUUAUUCUGACAGAGGGAUGUGUUGUAAGAUUCUGUACAAUGAUUUUUCAGACUGGAGAAGAGGAGGGAGGAGCUCACUCUUUAUUAGAGAUUCUGCUACCCAGAUAAUAUGCUGCUGUAAACUGUGACCAUGGAAAACACUUCAGAUUUAAAGUGUUGCAAGAACAACUUUAUUUGGAGACCUACAUUCUCAUGAAAAUGUGUACUUCAUCCUGGCUUCAGAAAAAAAAGAAAAUUUUCUUCCAAAUGUCUGUAUUUGGGUUUUGAAUAAAAGUCAUUACUCUCCAUAGUGAGUAUUUUGU
rnacentral:lncRNA from 1 species